rnacentral:misc_RNA from 1 species
AAGUCGUAACAAGGUCUCCGUAGGUGAACCUGCGGAAGGAUCAUUAACAAAUCAUUGUGCUGUUUGGCCUGGUGUCAAAGCCGGUCAUCCUAGCAACAUUAACCCGAACCUGUGCAGCAAUGCCAGGCUAGGUGUGGGACACUAUGUAGAGGUAAAACUCUACUGCGUCCCGCGGUGACGGAUGAAGCCUUGUGCUUAGUCUCGAUCCACAAAUAUACGCUUUUUUUGUUUGACAGUAUCAGUGACACAUUUUAAAAUGACAACUUUUAACAAUGGAUCUCUUGGCUCUU